GGUAAGCAGGAGCUUCUAUCUUAUGGGUUCUCAGUACUGUUGAUCAGCUGAUUGAUGAUGGUUACACCUCAGCAAGAUCCAUGGCAAAAGCUGUUAAUUCUGGAAGUGAUCAAAGAGAAUUAAGAAGCAGGUUCCAAGUGCUAAGCCAUUAGUUUUAACAAACCUGCAUCUUGAAUACCGAUGAAGGAAGGAUAUAUACAAGAAAAAGAAAAUCUGUGAAUGUUUGGAAAACCAAGCAA